rnacentral:rRNA from 1 species
GACGAACGCUGGCGGCGUGCUUAACACAUGCCAGUCGAACGGAAAGGCCCUGCUUGCAGGGUACUCGAGUGGCGAACGGGUGAGUAACACGUGGGUGAUCUGCCCUGCACUUCGGGAUAAGCUUGGGAAACUGGGUCUAAUACCGGAUAGGAGCCAUCUUUAGUGUGGUGGUUGGAAAGUUUUUUCGGUGUAGGAUGAGCUCGCGGCCUAUCAGCUUGUUGGUGGGGUAAUGGCCUACCAAGGCGGCGACGGGUAGCCGGCCUGAGAGGGUGUACGGCCACAUUGGGACUGAGAUACGGCCCAGACUCCUACGGGAGGCAGCAGUGGGGAAUAUUGCACAAUGGGCGCAAGCCUGAUGCAGCGACGCCGCGUGGGGGAUGAAGGCCUUCGGGUUGUAAACUCCUUUCGCUAGGGACGAAGCUUUUUUGUGACGGUACCUAGAGAAGAAGCACCGGCUAACUACGUG